UUCUCACCAUUUUUUUAUAUUUGCUGAGUAUGCUAGGAUUAUUUGAGUGAAAUGCUUUUUUUCCAUAAUCUCAUUUCUUUUUCCUUUCGGCAUGUUUCUGUUAUGAUAAUUAUUACUACUUUGCUCAUAAUUUUUUUAUCAUGUUGCUUCAAUCCUUGUUUAUUUUAUGUUUUUUUCGUUUCCUUAUAAUAUUGUUUAGGCUCAUGAAAAAAUAAUGUGUUACUUGGUUUCCUUUGCUCAAAAUCCUUGUUCAGUCCAUAUUUCAAAACCUAUUGUGUACUUAUGGGUCAUAUUUUACACAGACUUGUCUCCUCCUAUUGUGUACUUAUGUUAUUAGGUCUCCUCCUAUUAUGUACUUAUGCUAUUAGGUCUUUCUUUUGACUGCCAUUUUUGCUUGUGAUAUGGGUCAAUUCCUUCUUUGCUUCCGAUAUGGGCAUAUCCCUUAUUCCUCUUGGGAUAUUGUUGGCUCUUUACUGCUCCAAAUCUUCAUUACAACAUUAAAUACUCUCAUUCCCUCUGUUAUAAAUAUGUUAUUCCAUUUUCUCAUUUCAUUUCAUCCUUGCUCUUUCUGCACAUACAACCUUUUUACACUUUGGUCGCUCGAGUUCAAAAUUACUAUCAACUGAGGUACUAGGGUUCCUUUUGUAUUGAAACUUUUAUUUUAUAUGUUUGAAUCAUAUUUAUUUUACUAUAUUGUAAUAGUUAGUAAUAUUUUCACAAACGAUCAUUGUUCCGAACAUUGUAUGUGGACUUGCUAUUUUUUUAUUUAAUAUAUUCUAGCAUUAUCUUAUCAUUCA